rnacentral:lncRNA from 1 species
CUCAGUAGUCCUCAGCAUGGGGUAACCCUGUUCCCAAGGGGAUGUGUGGCAACAUUCAGACACUUCUGGCGGUCACAGUUGGGGGGUGCCUGGUGGGUCGAGGCCCAGGAUGCUGCUAGAUGUCCAACAAGGCACAAGUCGGCCCUGCCACGAGGAACAAACUGGCCCCACGUGCAGACAGCGCCAAGAUCAAAAGCCCGAGGAAAACACCAGAGCUCACUCACAGAGCGGCAGGGGCAGGGAGGCAGGAGGCCCUGCAGCCGGAGGGCCUGUCAUGAGCCACUAUCUCUGCAAAGACAUUUACAGGCUGCUGUGGGCAGGCUGAGGCCCCGAGAGGAGCUGCACCUCCCUUCCAGAAGCAGCGGGUUUCCUGGGACCCAGUUCCCGCUGCCCUCUGCACACAACCCCACCAGCACUGCCGUUCUGCUCCUCUCCAGGGCGCAUCGCCGUCUAAUGGAAACCCUCGAACCUGUGAGAGCUGACUGCCGGGGCCCCGGACAUCGAUGCAGCCAACAGACCCCCAAGGUCGCACACAUUCCCUCGCCAGCGUUUUCUCGGUGGCAUCUUGCUUUCUUCUGGAAGAAAACCCAGCCUGUGCUCCUAGUCAUGGCAGAGCCGGGACUCCUGGGCACAGUUCAUCUUCAGGACCCUCUGCACCCCCCUCACCAGGGGCCUCACCAGCCGUGCGACACAGCUGUCACGACACUGAAGGUGGGGCUAAGGCGGGAAACACAGCCUGUCACCCGUGACACCCAGUGUCAGCGACUCCAGUCCAAAAGUCUCUUCCCAGCGGGUCAGUGAAACCAACUCGUCCGGCCGCCAGGCCUGCUCCCCAGCCACGUGAGCAUGUUGUCACAGCCCCUCUGCCUGACAGGGCCGGGUGCCCGCCCCCGGCAUGCAGCGGCCGCCGCGGGGGAGGCCCGGAGAACCGGUUCCUUUGGAGGGAGCCGGUGUCCAAGCGUCACCUUCUGCCCUAGCGCCUUCAGUUCAGAGUCUCGGCCUCGUCCAGAACCGACCACCAGGGGGCGCCGGUGCACAGCCUCUGCUGCGGGCAGGUGGAAUCCAGCAGAGGGGCCCGGGUCCUGCGCGCCAGGGCAGGACGGAGGACUCUAGUUUGCUCAGUGCGCGAAGCUCCCAAACCCGCCCCACCCCGCAGGCCGAAGUGUGUACUUCCACCUGCACUUUUACUUUAUAAUAAAAUUAAAUGGUUUGUUUUUCGUUGCAAAAGCAACUCAUGAUCAGUGCCUGGGAUGGGUGCUUCUGACGCGUUUGUUUCACGCUGCUGCGUGCUUGGAGACUUCCUGAGCUUGGAGCAGAUGCCCCUACACACAGCGGCUCCGAGGUAGAGGAAGGGCUCUGCCUCUGGGCCUCAGUUUCCCCUGAGCGCAGGACUGCACUUCCUGGUGCUCUCCCCAGCUCUCGGAGCACAGCAGGAGCCCAGCAGUCUGCACUCAGGGCCGGGCAGGGUGGGAGCUCAGCGCACUCCCACCUGCUAGCUCCCCACCGCCAGCUCCAAGGCCCAGCUCCGGCCCGGUUCCG